rnacentral:tmRNA from 1 species
GGGGCUGACACGGUUUCGACGGGAAUCUUAGGAUAUAGAUGGCAAGUCGUACGCAAUACGUUAAGGCAUUUAAAUAUAACUGGAAACAGUAUUAAAAACGCAUUCGCUAAAAUGUUUGGUGCAUCUACACCAGCUUUAGCAGUAGCUUAAUCUAAUUUAAGCAAAUGCAGUUCUUUUAAUCUUUCUCCUAUGGAGAUUUUAAGAGCUUUAUUUUAGUAGGAUAUAUCUUAUUUUUGUCUAGAAAAUAAGAAGAAUUUUAUAGACUGGUCUAUCUAUAGGAAUCGUUAACUAGCUUUUAGAUAGAUGAGAAUUUGUAGUUAACUAAACUUGUAGAGGUUUAUAUACCGGGGUUUUCGGACAGGAGUUCGAUUCUCCUCAGCUCCACCA